CCUGGGUGCAGUGGCAUGCUCCUAUAGUCCCAAGUACUUGGGAGGCUAAGACAGGAGAAUCACUUGAGCCUAGGAAUUCAAGGCCAGCCUGGGCAAACUAGUGAGGCCCCAUCUCAA
rnacentral:sRNA from 1 species